GACCAGGAGGUUGGCUUAGAAGCAGCCACCCUUUAAAAAGUGCGUAACAGCUUACUGGUCUAGUGACUUCGCGCGGAAAACUUAACGGGGCUAAGCAUAGUACCGAAGCCAUGGGUCUCAACAUUUGUUGGGGCAGUAGGGGAGCGUUCUGUCAGCGGUGAAGGUCGAUCGUAAGGGCGACUGGAGCGGACAGAAGUGAGAAUGCAGGCAUGAGUAGCGUACAAAUAUGUGAGAACCAUAUUCGCCGUAUAUCUAAGGUUUCCGACGCCAGGUCAUUCCGCGUCGGGUUAGUCGAGUCCUUAGUCGAGGCCGAGAGGCGUAGGCGAUGGACAUCCGGUCAACAUUCCGGAACCGCUAGAAAGUGCGAUGGGAGGACGCAACGAGGUAGGCCAGCCCAUUAUUGGAUUUGGGUGCGAUCCAUCUAGGCGUUGAGACUGGUAGGUAAAUCCGCCGGUUGAGCUGAGGUGAGAGCGAGCCGUAAGGCAUAAGUGGUUGAGCCUUGUUGCCAAGAAAAGUCUCUAAGCAUAACUUUCUAGUGCUCGUACCGCAAACCGACACUGGUAGAUGGGUAGAGUAUACCAAGGCGAACGGGAGAACUCUCGUUAAGGAAUUAGGCAACAUGACCCCGUAACUUCGGGAGAAGGGGUACCCUCCUUUGUGUUAAAGCUUCGGAGGGUCGCAGUGAAAUGGCUCUGGUGACUGGUUAACAAAACCACAGGUCUCUGCUAAGCCGUAAGGCGAUGUAUAGGGGCUGACGCGUGCCCAGUGCCGGAAGGUUAAAGGGAGAGGUUAGCGCAAGCGAAGCUUUGAACUGAAGCCCCGGUGAACGGCGGCCGUAACUAUAACGGUCCUAAGGUAGCGAAAUUCCUUGUCGGGUAAGUUCCGACCCGCACGAACCGCGUAACAAUUAGAGCACUGUCUCGACGAGAGACCCGGUGAAAUUGAAAUGGCUGUGAAGAUGCGGCCUACCCGCAGUAGGACAAAAAGACCCCGUGGAGCUUUACUGCAACUUGGCAUUGUAUUUGGAUAUGAUCUGUGUAGGAUAGGUGGGAGGCUUUGAAGCUGGCGCGCUAGCGUCGGUGGAGCCAAUGGUGAAAUACCACCCUGAUCAUGUUUAGAUCCUAACCCCAUUCCGUCAUCCGGAUGGGGGACCGUGCCAGGUGGGCAGUUUGACUGGGGCGGUCGCCUCCUAAAAGGUAACGGAGGCGCCCAAAGGUUCCCUCAGGUGGAAUGGAAACCCACCAUAGAGUGUAAAGGCAUAAGGGAGCUUGACUGUAAGGCCAACGCGCCGAACAGAGACGAAAGUCGGGCUUAGUGAUCCCACAGUACCGAGUGGAAGGGCUGUGGCUUACCGGAUAAAAGCUACCCCGGGGAUAACAGGCUGGUGAGAUCCAA
rnacentral:rRNA from 1 species